AGCAGCCGCGGUAAUUCCAGCUCCAAUAGCGUAUAUUAAAGUUGUUGCAGUUAAAAAGCUCGUAGUUGAAUUUCGGGGUCAGUAGGUUGGUCGUGCCACUGGUAUGCACUGGUCUCACUGAUUCCUCCUUCCUGAUGAACCGUAAUGCCAUUAAUUUGGUGUUGCGGGGAAUCUGGACUGUUACUCUGAAAAAUUAGAGUGUUUAAAGCAGGCUCACGCUUGAAUACAUUAGCAUGGAAUAACGGAAUAGGACGUUUGAUUCUAUUUUGUUGGUUUCUAGGAUCGACGUAAUGAUUAAUAGGGAUAGUUGGGGGCAUUAGUAUUCAAUUGUCAGAGGUGAAAUUCUUGGAUUUAUUGAAGACUAACUACUGCGAAAGCAUUUGCCAAGGAUGUUUUCAUUAAUCAAGAACGAAAGUUAGGGGAUCGAAGACGAUCAGAUACCGUCGUAGUCUUAACCAUAAACUAUGCCGACUAGGGAUCGGAUGAUGUUAAUUUUUAAUGACUUCAUUC
rnacentral:rRNA from 1 species